CACAAAUCUUCUCUGCAAACUACGAGAAAACUGAUGGAAAAGCGAAACCCACUCCUGCUCUCCCACCAGUCAGGCUGCUGGGCUGACAGGUUGACUUAUCUGACUUUCUGACAGAGGUGGUCCGGCAGUCCACUAAAGCAGCCAUUAGACGGAUAUCCAAUCAGACUUGGGCCAUUCGCUUCUUCCAGCAUCUUCUUCUGUCUGCCACAUCCUCGGGCUAUCAUAGAGGAAAUGAAAGUCACUGAUGGAGAAUCUGAGGUAAUGGUAUGGAUAGAUAGAUGACUGGUCUGAGUGUGUUUUCAAAGCUCUCUUGGUGUAUAUAUAUAUAAACACUGA